GGUCACACUGGGACUGAGACACGGCCCAGACUCCUACGGGAGGCAGCAGGUGGGGAAUAUUGCACAAUGGGCGCAAGCCUGAUGCAGCGACGCCGCGUGGAGGGAUGGAGCCGUUCGGGUUGUGAACCUUCUUCGCAGUGAGAAGGUCCUGCUCUUUGUGGUGGGUUGACGGUAGCUGGGUAAUGAAGCGCCGGCUAACUAC
rnacentral:rRNA from 1 species